UACAGAGGUGGCAAGCGUUGUUCGGAAUUACUGGGCGUAAAGGGCGCGUAGGCGGCCUUCUAAGUCAGACGUGAAAUCCCCCGGCUUAACCUGGGAACUGCGUCUGAUACUGGAAGGCUUGAGUGCGGGAGAGGGAUGUGGAAUUCCAGGUGUAGCGGUGAAAUGCGUAGAUAUCGGGAGGAACACCAGUGGCGAAGGCGACUUCCUGGCCUGUUCUUGACGCUGAGGCGCGAAAGCUAUGGUAGCAAACGGG
rnacentral:rRNA from 1 species